GCGGACGUGGCGAAAUUGGUAGACGCACCAGAUUUAGGUUCUGGCGCCGAGAGGUGUGAGAGUUCGAGUCUCUCCGUCCGCACCA
rnacentral:tRNA from 284 species